rnacentral:rRNA from 1 species
GACGAACGCUGGCGGCGUGCUUAACACAUGCAAGUCGAACGGAAAGGCCCUGCUUUUGUUGGGUUCUCGAGUGGCGAACGGGUGAGUAACACGUGAGUAACCUGCCCUUUACUUUCGGAUAACUUCAGGAAACUGGGGCUAAUACCGGAUAGGAGCUCCUGCUGCAUGGUGGGGGCUGGAAAGUUUCGGCGGUUGGGGAUGGACUCGCGGCUUAUCAGCUUGUUGGUGGGGUAGUGGCUUACCAAGGCUUUGACGGGUAGCCGGCCUGAGAGGGUGACCGGCCACAUUGGGACUGAGAUACGGCCCAGACUCCUACGGGAGGCAGCAGUGGGGAAUAUUGCACAAUGGGCGGAAGCCUGAUGCAGCAACGCCGCGUGCGGGAUGACGGCCUUCGGGUUGUAAACCGCUUUCGCCUGUGACGAAGCGUGAGUGACGGUAAUGGGUAAAGAAGCACCGGCUAACUACGUG